AAAUUGAAGAGUUUGAUCAUGGCUCAGAUUGAACGCUGGCGGCAGGCCUAACACAUGCAAGUCGAGCGGUAGCACAGAGAGCUUGCUCUCGGGUGACGAGCGGCGGACGGGUGAGUAAUGUCUGGGAAACUGCCUGAUGGAGGGGGAUAACUACUGGAAACGGUAGCUAAUACCGCAUAAUGUCGCAAGACCAAAGUGGGGGACCUUCGGGCCUCAUGCCAUCAGAUGUGCCCAGAUGGGAUUAGCUUGUAGGUGGGGUAACGGCUCACCUAGGCGACGAUCCCUAGCUGGUCUGAGAGGAUGACCAGCCACACUGGAACUGAGACACGGUCCAGACUCCUACGGGAGGCAGCAGUGGGGAAUAUUGCACAAUGGGCGCAAGCCUGAUGCAGCCAUGCCGCGUGUGUGAAGAAGGCCUUCGGGUUGUAAAGCACUUUCAGCGGGGAGGAAGGCGGUGAGGUUAAUAACCUCAUCGAUUGACGUUACCCGCAGAAGAAGCACCGGCUAACUCCGUGCCAGCAGCCGCGGUAAUACGGAGGGUGCAAGCGUUAAUCGGAAUUACUGGGCGUAAAGCGCACGCAGGCGGUCUGUCAAGUCGGAUGUGAAAUCCCCGGGCUCAACCUGGGAACUGCAUUCGAAACUGGCAGGCUAGAGUCUUGUAGAGGGGGGUAGAAUUCCAGGUGUAGCGGUGAAAUGCGUAGAGAUCUGGAGGAAUACCGGUGGCGAAGGCGGCCCCUGGACAAAGACUGACGCUCAGGUGCGAAAGCGUGGGGAGCAAACAGGAUUAGAUACCCUGGUAGUCCACGCCGUAAACGAUGUCGAUUUGGAGGUUGUGCCCUUGAGGCGUGGCUUCCGGAGCUAACGCGUUAAAUCGACCGCCUGGGGAGUACGGCCGCAAGGUUAAAACUCAAAUGAAUUGACGGGGGCCCGCACAAGCGGUGGAGCAUGUGGUUUAAUUCGAUGCAACGCGAAGAACCUUACCUGGUCUUGACAUCCACAGAACUUAGCAGAGAUGCUUUGGUGCCUUCGGGAACUGUGAGACAGGUGCUGCAUGGCUGUCGUCAGCUCGUGUUGUGAAAUGUUGGGUUAAGUCCCGCAACGAGCGCAACCCUUAUCCUUUGUUGCCAGCGGUCCGGCCGGGAACUCAAAGGAGACUGCCAGUGAUAAACUGGAGGAAGGUGGGGAUGACGUCAAGUCAUCAUGGCCCUUACGACCAGGGCUACACACGUGCUACAAUGGCAUAUACAAAGAGAAGCGACCUCGCGAGAGCAAGCGGACCUCAUAAAGUAUGUCGUAGUCCGGAUUGGAGUCUGCAACUCGACUCCAUGAAGUCGGAAUCGCUAGUAAUCGUAGAUCAGAAUGCUACGGUGAAUACGUUCCCGGGCCUUGUACACACCGCCCGUCACACCAUGGGAGUGGGUUGCAAAAGAAGUAGGUAGCUUAACCUUCGGGAGGGCGCUUACCACUUUGUGAUUCAUGACUGGGGUGAAGUCGUAACAAGGUAACCGUAGGGGAACCUGCGGUUGGAUCACCUCCUUACCUUAAAGAA
rnacentral:rRNA from 1 species